rnacentral:rRNA from 1 species
UACGGGGGGGGCAAGCGUUGUUCGGAAUUACUGGGCGUAAAGGGCUCGUAGGCGGCCAACUAAGUCGGACGUGAAAUCCCUCGGCUUAACCGGGGAACUGCGUCCGAUACUGGAUGGCUUGAGUAUGGGAGAGGGAUGCGGAAUUCCAGGUGUAGCGGUGAAAUGCGUAGAUAUCUGGAGGAACACCGGUGGCGAAGGCGGCAUCCUGGACCGGCAUUGACGCUGAGGCGCGAAAGCCAGGGGAGCGAACAGG